ACGCUCGACACCUACAGGAGGCAGCAGUUGGGAAUAUUGGACAAUGGAGGAAACUCUGAUCCAGUGACGCCGCGUGAAGGAAGAAGGUCUUCGGAUUGUAAACUUAUUUUGUCAGGGAAGAAAAAGUGACUGUACCUGAAGAAAAAGCACCGGCUAACUACGUGCCAGCAGCCGCGGUAAUCUGAGCGGGCUGGCAAGGC
rnacentral:rRNA from 1 species